UACAGAGGUCCCAAGCGUUGUUCGGAUUCACUGGGCGUAAAGGGUGCGUAGGCGGUUGGGUAAGUCUGAUGUGAAAUCCCGGAGCUUAACUCCGGAACUGCAUCGGAUACUCUCCAGCUAGAGGAUUGGAGGGGGGACUGGAAUUCUCGGUGUAGCAGUGAAAUGCGUAGAUAUCGAGAGGAACACCGGUGGCGAAGGCGAGUCCCUGGACAAUUCCUGACGCUGAGGCACGAAAGCUAGGGGAGCAAACAGG
rnacentral:rRNA from 1 species